AAUUUAAGUAGUUUAAUUUAAAAAUUUAGAUUUGUGGAUUCUAAGAAGUUGGGAGACCUUAAGUUU
rnacentral:tRNA from 1 species